rnacentral:rRNA from 1 species
AGACACGGCCCAGACUCCUACGGGAGGCAGCAGUGGGGAAUUUUGGACAAUGGGCGAAAGCCUGAUCCAGCAAUGCCGCGUGUGUGAAGAAGGCCUUCGGGUUGUAAAGCACUUUUGUCCGGAAAGAAAUCCUUGGCUCUAAUACAGUCGGGGGAUGACGGUACCGGAAGAAUAAGCACCGGCUAACUACGUGCCAGCAGCCGCGGUAAUACGUAGGGUGCGAGCGUUAAUCGGAAUUACUGGGCGUAAAGCGUGCGCAGGCGGUUUGCUAAGGCCGAUGUGAAGUCCCCGGGCUCAACCUGGGAACUGCAUUGGUGACUGGCAGGCUAGAGUAUGGCAGAGGGGGGUAGAAUUCCACGUGUAGCAGUGAAAUGCGUAGAGAUGUGGAGGAAUACCGAUGGCGAAGGCAGCCCCCUGGGCCAAUACUGACGCUCAUGCACGAAAGCGUGGGGAGCAAACAGGAUUAGAUACCCUGGUAGUCCACGCCCUAAAC